GGGGGAGAAGAAGGGCACCGCGGCGGGAGGGAAGAAACAGAGCGAGCUACGCUGCAGGAGCGCAGUUACCAGCCGGCUGCGAUCACGUGCCUGGGAGGAGGAGCUGAGACCUCAGGGGAGGGGCGCGCGGUAGCGUCCCGGGUCCCCUAGCAGGGCUCUAGAGACCACGUGAAGUCUCCUCGGAGCUGGUGUAGUGAAGGAUGAAGAGAAGGCAAUGCAUUGGUUUAGACAAGCCUCCCAGCAGGACCAUCCUGGUGCUGCCUUUAACCUUGCAGUAGGAACACUGAAAAACAUGACUGCCUCCAUGGAAGCAGGGGAUGUAGAAAUGCUCCUUAAUGUUGCUGCAAAAUGGGGGAUCCAAGAAGCCCAAGAACUUCUGGAGAAUGUUAUUUGGACUAAAAGCAAGCUCUUGCCAACUGAAAGAACCAGGAGUUCUUAUAAACCAUAAUGUGUGCCUGCAUGCUCUUCCUGGAACAUGGGAUGUUCUGCUCUCACUUGUCCACUGUGGCCUUGCAAUGCUUUGUGGCAUUUUCAAUGGAAGCUCCUUUUACUUAUAGUCUCAUAUGCUGCUGCAGCAUUAAUUUGCUGGUUAAAAUCCUUUAAAUGAAGUGUUACUUAUAUGUUUUCCUGGGAUCUGAGUUUGAUCUCUUCUGGAUAGAGGAAUAUUUUAUUUGGGUUUCAUUACUGCUCACUUCAGCUAAAGUUUCAUUCAAGCCAGUGAGCAUUCUAUAACGUGGUAAGUGGAAAAUAACGAAGAAACCUGUCAUACCAGAGAUUGGCUUCUUGGAUGUGUUAGCUGGCACUCACAGAUCCACUGAAAGAGCUAGACUCAUCAUUAGCCUAAUCUAUGACAUGUGAUGUUCUGCCUAAAAUAAGCCUGUUUUCAUUUCUCUCCAUUUCAAUUUUCUGCUCUAUUAGGUUUCUAUAGUAUUUUAUUACACUCACUUUUUGUAUUAUAGAAAGUCCUUUAUAGGGGUAAAAAGGCUGUUAUUGUUGUCAAUUAAAGGGAAAAGGAUAAAGUAUAAGACCUAACAAUUAUUGACCAUCUGCCACAUGCAAGAUAUUUUCUUAGCUGUUUAACAUAUAUAUAUAUAUUUGAGACUGAGUUUCGCUCUUGUUGCUCAGGCUGGAGUACAAUGGCAUGAUCUCUACUCACUGCAACCUCAGCCUCUCAGGUUCAGGAUGUUAUCCUGCCUCAGCCUCCUGAGUAGCUGGGAUUACAUGCGUGCACCAUCACAUCCGGCUAGUUUUUUCAUUUUUAGUAGAGACGGGGUUUCACCAUGUUGGUCAGGCUGGUCUUGAACUUCUGACCUCAGGUGAUCUACCUGCCCUGCCCUCCCAAAAUGCUGGGAUUACAGGAGUGAGCCACCACGUCUGGCCUGCUUAACAAAUAUUUUAACAUUCACUAGUUAUAAAAGUCUUAUAAGGUGGAUCUUAUAACUCCUAUUUUACAGAGUGAAAACAGGUGUAGAGAAGUUGUGAUAUGUGCAAAGUCACAGAGUGAGUGAUAGAGUGGGGUUUUUAGUGCUGGCAGUCUGAUUCUAGAGUCAACAUUCUUAACCAGUUCUACCAACAUUACUCUCCCAAGUCAUUAACAUCUCUUUCCUAACAACAAAGAUGUUCUAAGAACAGAUAACUGGGUUUAUUACUGGCAUAUGGUGAACACUUAUCUUAGCAAAUAACUCAGCCCCAUUUUCUGACUAUGAUUUUUUUAAGGACAAACCACGUAGUCCUAUUCUUCAAAAGUGAUGUUUUUAACCUUAAUUAUAAUUAGCUGUAUUUAUCUCAUUUAGAUUAUAGCGCAAUUUUCUCCUUGGAAUAUACAUACAGAAACACAAAUUGAGGGUGACAAAAGUGUCAAACUGGAAUUCAAUAUGAUGAUUAAGCUGUGUUUAAAAUAUUUGUUUCCCUUUUGAUUGCCUUGUUUACACUGUAUACAUAUGGAAUAUGACUGUAAGCCUUCAGCAAUCUUCUCUUUGUCCAACGUGAACACAUAAACCUUUAAA
ensembl:lncRNA H2AZ1-DT H2AZ1 divergent transcript